rnacentral:lncRNA from 1 species
AAUCCAAUCGAGCAUGCAACUGAUUUAUAGCUCGGGUCCAUGCAUGGUUAGUGCUGAGCCGGAGGGUGGUAGAUGGGCGUGGGGUGUUCUCCUCCAUAGGUGGGCGUGGGAGUGGGUGGGGCGGGGUGGUAGUCCGGCUUGGGCUCUGGCUUGGGCUCCGGUUUGGACGGCACGGGCUUCUUGUGAAAAUGGUCAAUGAUGUGUUUCUUGAAUGACAUGGGGUGCCCUCCUCCAUAGCUAGGCGUUGGUGGGGCGGGGUGGUAGUCUGGCUGGGGCUGCGGCUUGGGCUCUGGCUUGGGCUCCGGAUUGGGCGGCACAGGUUUCUUGUGGAAAUGGUCAAUGAUGUGUUUCUUGAAGGGCAUGAGGUGCUCUCCUCCGUAGGUGGGCGUGGGUGGGGCAGGGUGGUAGUCCGGUUGGGGCUGCGGGUUGGGCUCUGGCCUUGGCUCCGGCUUGGGCGGCACGGGUUUCUUGUGGAAAUGAUCAAUGAUGUGUUUCUUGAAGGGCAUGAGGUGCCCUCCUCCAUAGGUGGGUGUGGGGGCAGAGUGAUAGUCCGGCUGGGGAUGCGGUUUGGGUUCUGAUUUCGGCUCCGGCUUGGGCGGCACGGGCUUCUUGUGAAAAUGGUCAAUGAUGUAUUUCUUGAUGGGCUCGC